rnacentral:rRNA from 1 species
GACGAACGCAGGCGGCGUGCCUAAUACAUGCAAGUCGAGCGGAAGUUGGAGAGCUUGCUCUUCAACUUUAGCGGCGGACGGGUGAGUAACACGUGGGCAACCUGCCCUGCAGAUCGGGAUAACUCCGGGAAACCGGUGCUAAUACCGAAUAGUUUUCGCCACCUCCUGGUGGCGUACGGAAAGACGGUUUCGGCUGUCACUGCAGGAUGGGCCCGCGGCGCAUUAGCUAGUUGGUGGGGUAACGGCCCACCAAGGCGACGAUGCGUAGCCGACCUGAGAGGGUGAUCGGCCACACUGGGACUGAGACACGGCCCAGACUCCUACGGGAGGCAGCAGUAGGGAAUCUUCCGCAAUGGACGAAAGUCUGACGGAGCAGCGCCGCGUGAGUGACGAAGGUUUUCGGAUCGUAAAACUCUGUUGUGAGGGAAGAACAAGUACCACUUAACUACCGGUACCUUGACGGUACCUCACCAGAAAGCCACGGCUAACUACGUGCCAGCCGCCGCGGUAAAAC